rnacentral:rRNA from 1 species
CCCUUAUAUGUCCUGGGCUGCACGCGUGCUACACUGAUGCAUACAACAAGUUCCUAGCCCGACAGGGUGUGGCAAUCUCGAAUAUGCAUCGUGAUGGGAAUAGAUCUUUGCAAUUAUAGAUCUUGAACGAGGAAUUCCUAGUAAAUGUAAGUCAUCAUCUUACAUUGAUUAUGUCCCUGCCCUUUGUACACACCGCCCGUCGCACCUACCGAUUGAAUGUUUCGGUGAAGAUUCCGGAUAGGACUGAUUUGAUUUAUUUCAUUUCUGACCUAAAAGCUAUCUAAACCUCAACAUUUAGAGGAAGGUGAAGUCGUAACA